GUUUUGCGUCUUAAUUGUUUUUUUCUCCCAUGUCCCCUGCGGGGCUCCGUAUAAUUGUGUAAAUUUGAUGUCCCCUCAAAAUAACUCAACACACAGCCAUUAAUGUCUGAACUGCUGACAACAAAAGCGAGUAAACCUCUGAGGGGAAAUGUCCAAACUGUGCCCAACUAGCCCUUUCCCUUCCCGUUGUCAUGUGAUUCGCUAGUGUUACAAGGUCACGGGUUUUAAUAGGGGGGAGGUUAAACUGUUAAACUUGGUGUUAUUGCUCUCACACUCUCAUGCUGGUCACUAGAAGUUUAACAUGGCACCUCAUGGCAAAUAAUUCUGUGAGGAUCUGAAAAAAAUAAUUAUUGUUCUACAUAAAGAUGGCCUAGACUAUGUGGCUAAGACCACUGAAAACUACUACUGCAACUGAAAACAGAUAAGUAACACCCUUUGACUCGCUAUAACCUGGAGCUGUUCUGUGAACAAGAAAUGCAGCUCAGAAUAGGAAUAGAAAUCUUUAACAAGUAAAAUAAUAAAGUACAUCAGCUCCUUUACUGGUAACUCGCAAUACACAAGCAGAGUAGUGACUCAGAAAGCUAAAAUUAGCUAAUAGUAGGCUACCUGAGCUAAUGUUUUUGAUGCUAUUUAGAGAACAAAUUUCUAAAUUUGUAAGUCAAAAACAUCAACCCUGCAUUAUCAGAACAUUUUGAACUUUUGCUAUAUUUCAGUUAAAGUGUGCAUUAAAUCUGCAUCACUGAUUUGUGCCAUGUCAGUAAGAAUAAAGCAGGCCGGGCGCAGUACAGGAGCAGGAAAUGAUACUGUACUGUAGAGAGAGACAAUUUCAAGUUAAAGUCAAAAAGGAAGGAAAAAUACACUAAAAAUUCUUCUAAGACAUUUCGGUACCAAACUAGAAAUAAGGUUAAACCCACACAAUGUCCUUUCUGUCAGCAGCACACCUUACCUUUGUGAAGCAUGAAUGCUAUGAAUGGUAACAACAACAUGGUAUUCAUUUUCCAAAUGAUACAGCUCCACAUCAUAGUAUUACCAUUUCUCAACAUAGCUUACAUAUUGCAUUUGAGACUGUUUGAUUUUUUCAUUACAGUGAUUUAACUACCAAGCAAUAAAAGUGCUCAGUUAUGUAAAGAAGAAGGCUGAAGUCUGACAAAUCACUUAGGGGUCAAAUUCGCCGGUCGAAUUCGAACCUGCAAUUUAAACGAUUAAAUGCAGAAAAAAUGCCAAAUGUAGCAAAUGUUAUUCAAAUUAAAAGUCCUCCUAUGCAAUUUAAUAUACAUGGUCACCUUUUGUCAUUCGAAAACAUCCAUGGUUAGUCAACACAGAUUUAAGCUUCUCUUUUUUUUGAUUGCACAAGUAAAGGGCUUGGUUAUUUUUGUGUAUCAUCAUUGGUUGUUUCUGUAUAAUGCUAUGUGUGGCGCAGAGGUAUAAAAGUUCCUAAUCUGUAGUUCAGCUUCGACUUGAGGAGGAGGAACUGUUCAACUGAAAAGUUACAACCUCCACGGCUGCAUUCUUACACAUUUAUUGAAAACAGAACUUGAAAAAGUUGAAAUGAAGAAGCCUGCUCUCCUCUCUGCAGCCCUGCUGCUGCUGUUUUUUAGUGGGACAUCAGCUCAGGGUAACACUAACUUCAGAGUGCAGGUGAAUGUGUCACCCAGUGACAUUAAGACCUACAACACUUCUACUGCUUAUAGAGGCAGCCUCUUCGGUGGACUGACGAGACUGAAAUACUCAAACCAAGGCUUCAAGUAAGACCAUGAUAUCAACUAUUUUCUUACUAGAAGAAGCCAUACCUUUUGUUUUGUUCUCUUAACUUUUAAUUAAAAUUGAGACCCCGUAUAUCUGGGUGUGAAUUUUUAAUUCCAGAUGACUAAUUGUGCCCUGGAAUGUUUGUUGACAUCUUAAAAUAAAACAAAUCUUCAUACUUUUUUUCUUACAGUAGACCACAGAAACCUGUAUAUGUACAGUACAGUCAAAAACCACAUAACAUCUUUAGCUUUAAGAAAUGCCUUCCUUUCAUUAAUGUUUCAUAAAUCCUCAUGAGUUUUUGAAAGUGUCUGUGCUCUUUUGUGCCGUUACAAUAGAGGACCUUCUAUAACUCUUCUUUUCAGUUGAAUUUUAUUUGUAUAGCACCAAAUCACCACAACAUUUGCUCAAGGUACUUUAUUUUGUAAGAUAAAGACCCUGCAAUAACAUACAGAAAGUCCCAACAAUCACAUGGCCUCACACAGGAGGGAGACAGGACAAAAGAUGCAAAAGAGCCAGACAUUAAUAAUAACUAAUAACUGAAUGC